rnacentral:tRNA from 1 species
GUCAAGAUGGCCGAGCGGUUAAGGCGCUGCACUCAAGAUCCUUGCGUGAUCUUUCCCAGAGGACAUGGGACGCAUUGCAGUAUCGAAAGAUGCCUGGGUUCGAAUCCCAGUCUUGACA